rnacentral:lncRNA from 1 species
UUUAGUAUCAGAGACCCUCGUUAUCCACCAAAUAUAUAUAUAUAUGUACUGAGAAAGAGACGCACACAGAGACCCAGAGAGUGAAAACGAAAACUCUGAAAUAGAAGGGAGAAGCAAAGAGAUUGAAAUUGAAUGCAGCCUAAUUGGAGGAGAUCGCUGUCUGUCUAUUCGAAGCUCCAUGCAAAAAAUGGCCCACAAAAACGUUCACGGGCAGAAGUUAGGUAAGCAGGCCAGGACUUUGAAGUUUGAACAGAAAACCACCCGUGACUUGAUUUGGUUUCUCUCUCUCUCUCUAUCCAUCCCUUAAUUUGGUUGUCCGUUAUGAAAUGUUCUUCUCUCUCCUUAUGAUUUCACAUGCAUAUCUCCUGCUUCCAACCUGACAAAUCUCCCUACCUCUCAUAAUCUCCUCAGUCCCCACACUGUUUGAUCUUUAUUUAUUUUUUGCUUUUUUCCCAUCUUGCCCCUCC